rnacentral:lncRNA from 1 species
AUAAUGUGGUCCCAGAUGUUUGAACAACAAUUCUAGGUUCAUAUAAUUUUUAUUUUGACUAAAAGAUUCAUUUUAAUUGUUAUAAUUAUAAGACAAUCUGUUUCUUUCAAUCAAAUGGGUCAGCAUGCACAUGUAUUGUUGGUUGUUGGUUGUUUCUUGAUCUGAUAUUUGCUUGCUCAAUUUUUUUUUUCUUUCAAAUAUUCUAAUAAUUAGAAAAUUUAUCUUAAACGUGAAUAAAUGAAGUGUUUGAAAUUUGAACCAACUUUUGUAUAUAUAGUGUAAUAUUUCUGCCUCUUGAAUUAAUAUUAUGAGGACAAAUAUUUGGUCUUUUAGUCACUAAAAAUCAGUUACUAUUGAGUUUAGUUUUUAUCCAUUUUUUUUUGUCAAGUAGCCUAAUGACUAGAAAUUCCACCUUAUAGGUGAAUAAGUGGAGUGUCAGGGUUUGAACCCCGACUCCUACAUAUACAAUGUGAUGUUCAUACUAACCGAGUUAAGCUCACGGGGACCAUCUUUAUCCAUUUUUAAUCUUCAUAGUUUUAAUAUAUUUUAUCCUCACAUUUUUUUUGAGGUAUAUUCUCUUAAUUAACUAGUUAAUUUAUUUUUAAAAAAUAUUACAAAUUUAAUCUUCAACUAUAACUUUGUUGUUAAAAAUUACUUUCUUUAUUUUUUUUUAUAAAUAAAAGAGUACCUAGUAGAAAAGAGUAUACCUUUAUUAAAAAAAAGAUGUUAUAUCUGAAAAGGGUUGUAAUACAGCUAAGACAAAUAUUCAUUAAAUUUGGCUUUAUAUAUUCGAUUAUAGUUCUCAAUCUCUUUCAACUUUUGUCUUCACAAUUAAGUUUGAAUUUUCAAUCCAUGAACAUUCCAUGAUGGUUCCUAAUUUCCUUCAAUCAUGCAUGGCUCCCUAUCCAUUAUAGCCACACCCUUGCAUGACAUUUCUAUAUUAAUUCAUUUAAUUCUAAAGUUCCCCUCCCUUUCACAUUAAAAUCUUUAGUCCACCUAUGAUUAUCUUAUGUCAUAUAAAACAUCUUAGAAACAUAUAUCAUCAUUAGUCCAAAAAAAACAAAACUAAUAUCAUCUCAUUGUUUAGUUAUUAAUUAGUAUAACUAAAACCAAAAGUCCAAUCUUAUAUAUCUCAUUAGUCAAAAAAAUCUUAUAUAUCUCAUGUCAUACAUGCAUAUCUUACUUCUCUAAUUGUCCUAUAUUGUAGAUGGUUCUUUCCACUUUAUCAAAUCUUAGACUAACCAAAUAAUAUAUAUUUACACAUAUUUAAUUUGUUGAAAAAAUUAAUUUUAAACUUGAAAAGAAUUAUUUUAGGCAUGUUAAAUUUUUAGUGUCUUUAUUUUUUUAUAUUUAAUUAAAGUGGUAUUAGUAUUAGAAGCAUGUCUUUGAAGUUUCUAACAACAAAAAGAGUAUUUAAUUUCAAUUAAUACUUUAAUUAAUUAAUAUAUGUUUAGAAGAUAAGGUCUUCUUUAUAUCUGUCCAAAAAAAUCAUGUCUAUGUCAACAAUAAUUGACACAAAGUCCUUUUGGUGCUGUAGUUGUACACUUGUACUAUGGACUUAUCUCAUCAUCAUGUCCUCUCAAGUUUCAACUUGUCCUUAGAAAAAGUUUAGUUUAUUGAUGACAAAUUUAAUAGUCAUGCUAGAUUUUAAAUGUGGAGGUUAAUUUGCCACCAAAAUUUGUGUUCUAUUUACUCAAAACUAACCAACUCAACUGUUUUGGUACCUAUAUUUGAAUUCAUUUAACCACCAUAGUU